rnacentral:lncRNA from 1 species
AUCUUAUUUGGGAGCAGAAGCUGUGUCUUCCAGGCUCAAGCGAGACCUUGGUGCUUCCGUGGCCUGCACCUUGGGGUGCCAAGGGGAAACCUGCAUGAGGAGCAGCUAGCCAGCCCCUGGCAUGUCCCAGGCUGCCGUGUUCCCCCUGGGACACCAGGCACAUGCGGGAGGAGGUUCCUGUGCCCCAGGAAGGUAAUUUGAACCUGUGCCGGUGGAUACCACGCUCAGUGUUUACACAGAAAAGGCAAGCGCAAGGAACAGGAUUGUGUUUGUUAUUGGUAAAUCAAACCAGCUGCAGAUCCUGCCUCUGAGAAACACCAAACAUCGCUGCUGUUCCCCUUCCCUUGGUCCUGGGCUGCUGGGUGCAUCUCUGAGGCUGCUGCAUGCAGGAACCCACUGGGGUCAGGGGCCACAGAGCCUCCUCCAUCCCAAUGUGACAGAGAGCAGCACCUGGGCUGGCGGAGGGGAUGGGAGGACUCAGGAACAAAGGAGCCUUUCAGGCCACCUAAUGCAGUAUGGAUCCAAGAGGACAAAAUGAAUUUACAGGCAUAGCUCAGAUUGGGAGAUAUGCUCGCAAAGCCAAUUUGUUUCAUUUUAUAGGCCUGAAAGAUUCUACGUCGGGGCUCCCUGUAUGGUUUGAAUUAAGCUUGGAGAGCGGCAUUUUGGAGAGCAGUUUGGAGGGGUUCUCAUGCAAUACGUCUGUCGCUGAGCAGAGGCCACGCAACACUUCUGCAGUGCUUUCCAGCAAAAUAAUCCAUGUCUGCCCCCAAAAUGAAGAUGAUGAAUACCUGAAAACAGAGGCCUUCAGCUUGGAAUUUGCACAAGAAGCUGAAUUGCCCCUGAUCCCUAAAUGAUUGGUCAGAGGAUUUGCAUGAGGAAGCAGAAAUUAAUUAUUCUUUUCUUUUCUUUUUAUUUUCUGUAAUUGUGUGUUUAGAAAUGAGAUUACAUUCUGCAGCCGCACGAGGGGCUGAGGGGGGGGAACCGCUUUGCAUUUGUUUAGCGCCUCGGAGUUAAGAUCACCUAAUCGCUUCAAGCAUUUCCUCGGAUUCCCUCUCUCUUUUUCCUGCUUUAAUGACCAAACAAAGGUUGUGCUGCUUCCCGGGGAACUUCUCUGGCAGCGAGAGCCGGCGUUCAUCGCGCUGUCCUUGCGCUGCGGGGCUCGGGAUGGGGCUCGGGAUGGCUCGGGGCCGUUCCGCGGCGCCGGCACGGUGCUCAGACCCUGCCCCGACCCAUCCUGAGUUCCGCUGGCUGCA